rnacentral:rRNA from 1 species
UAAUACGGAGGGUGCAAGCGUUGUUCGGAAUUAUUGGGCGUAAAGAGCAUGUAGGCGGUUCGUCAAGUCUGAUGUGAAAGCCCGGGGCUCAACCCCGGAAGUGCAUUGGAAACUGACGAACUUGAGUACGGGAGAGGAAAGUGGAAUUUCGAGUGUAGGGGUGAAAUCCGUAGAUAUUCGAAGGAACACCAGUGGCGAAGGCGGCUUUCUGGACCGAUACUGACGCUGAGAUGCGAAAGCGUGGGGAGCAAACAGGAUUAGAUACCCUGGUAGUCCACGCCGUAAACGAUGGGUACUAGGUGUUGCGGGUAUUGACCCCUGCAGUGCCAAAGCUAACGCAUUAAGUACCCCGCCUGGGGAGUACGGCCGCAAGGCUA